GCCAGACUCCUACGGGAGGCAGCAGUCGGGAAUAUUGCGCAAUGGAGGAAACUCUGACGCAGUGACGCCGCGUAUAGGAAGAAGGUUUUCGGAUUGUAAACUAUUGUCGUUAGGGAAGGAAAAAGACAGUACCUAAGGAGGAAGCUCCGGCUAACUACGUGCCAGCAGCCGCGGUAAUACGUAGGGAGCGAGCGUUAUCCGGAUUUAUUGGGUGUAAAGGGUGCGUAGACGGGUUAGCAAGUUAGUUGUGAAAUCCCUCGGCUUAACUGAGGAACUGCAACUAAAACUGCCAAUCUUGAGUGCAGGAGAGGUAAGUGGAAUUCCUAGUGUAGCGGUGAAAUGCGUAGAUAUUAGGAGGAACACCAGUGGCGAAGGCGUCUUACUGGACCGAAACUGACGUUGAGGCUCGAAAGCGUGGGGAGCAAACAGGAUUAGAUACCCCAGUA
rnacentral:rRNA from 1 species